AGAAAGAAAACAAACGCUAUAAGGACAGACCUUAAUGAAGGCAGACAGGAGGAAGACAGUGCAGAGAGCUCUGAGCCUGGCCCAUCUUCAAGGAAUUCUGACACAUCAAACAUAGAACAAAGAAUGAAAAAGCAGGUGAUGUCAUAAUGAACAGAGUCAAGGUGCACAGCUGCAGCCCAGGUGAUGUCAUAGUGAUGUCAUUGAAUAUAGAAAAUUACGGAUCCGCACACACUUUAUCUUCAAGCAGAUGGGGGUUAACCCAAGUUUAUUGUACCACCACUAAGAUCU